UACGAAGGGGGCUAGCGUUGCUCGGAAUCACUGGGCGUAAAGCGCACGUAGGCGGCUUCUUAAGUCGAGGGUGAAAUCCUGGAGCUCAACUCCAGAACUGCCUUCGAUACUGAGGAGCUUGAGUCCGGGAGAGGUGAGUGGAACUGCGAGUGUAGAGGUGAAAUUCGUAGAUAUUCGCAAGAACACCAGUGGCGAAGGCGGCUCACUGGCUCGGUACUGACGCUGAGGUGCGAAAGCGUGGGGAGCAAACAGG
rnacentral:rRNA from 1 species